rnacentral:ncRNA from 21 species
GAGCAACUUAGGAUUUUAGGCUCCGCCGCAGCUUCCGCGGCGCAAACCGGUGUCAGGCUGGCGGUCUGGCAUGCGGUCAAAAUCUAUCCGCCGGAG